rnacentral:lncRNA from 1 species
UCAGAUAAAACCAUUGAAACUACAAACGUUUAUUGGAACGAAUAUCGCUAAAUUACGUAAAAAAAACCCCUUUCUCUCGCGACAAAACAGAACCAAACCCUAGAAAGCCAGCCGCCGUUCUUUGUUCUCUGCUCCGGCGGUCGGUGCUUCUCACCGCCGCCGGGAGCGGCCCCGUCUCUCCUUCCCUUAGGUCUCUAUGUAUUUGUUUUCGGUAAAGCAUCACCGUUUUCAGUUUGGUUUCAGAUCUGAGUUAACAGAGGGAUUCGAUGACUCUGGUCUUGGAUCUUCUUCGUUGUGGCUUGGAUGUAGUAGUCUAUGGGCUGGGUUUGUCGGAUUUAGUGCGGUGGUCAUGAGCUCGCCUGUCGGGUUCAGGUUCCGCUGAAGUUCGGUGGUCAAUCAAGGCUACGGGCUCUCCGUUCUGAAGCCAAUCAUAGGUGUUUUGUUAUGUUUCUAUGUUAGUAUAUGGUCCUUAGUUGGUUGAUUUGUGGUCUUGAGGCUUUGACGGCUUGGACAUCCUUGAAGACCUGGUCGAGUUUGCGUUGCUCUUUCUCGCUAUGCUUGGGUUGCUUCUUCAUCUUCGAAUCUGUUUUCUGGUGCGCGGUGCAGGAAUAAAUCGGCUCUGAUGUGGGUAGCUACUUCUUUCAUCGAAUUUGGUGAGGUGGUUUAGGUGGGUUUGCGAUGGUUCUGCGCUAUCGGCUCUCUUCUCUGUCCUCUAAGGUCGUCUUUGUUGAAGGUUCUAUAAGUUAUGGCCAGUGUUGAUGCUAUGUUUGUGAGUAAGAGUUCUCUGAAUUUAUGGAGUUUGGUGGUCUUGAGACAGUGGUGCUUAGUGUUAUCAGUUUGGGUCUUUCAGCUGUGCUCUAAGUUCUUGACUUCUGCUUUCAGUAGCGUCAUAUGUCCUCCGGGCUCGUCUUCGGUAAGGUCUUGAUGCUCGACCCUUGUGUUUACUAAUGAUUGGAUCAUUGUGAAGCCUCGAUAGUGCGUUGUCAUGCCGUUUCUUGGUUUUAAACCAACGGGUUUCUCCGGAUUUCUUGGUAAGAAACUGUGGAGCUCUAGCUCAAUUGCGUUGGGUCUUUGAGUAGUUAGAUUGUCAACCUGUUCUUCGUCGGCUGCUCGGAUGGAGAUCCGCCUUCUCGUGGCUUCCAAAAGUUGAAGCUUGUUCUUGAGUGGCGUGUGCUCGGGAUCCUCUGUUGGAUCGUGUCUUGGAGCUCUUCUAUCAUCCUAAUAAUUCCGACCUUCAACGCUUUCUUCGUUAAUCACGGCUUCCCUAUCGAGUUGCUUUGCUAUAUUGAUACUUGUUUUAGCUCCAUUAAUUUUUCAGUGGUCUUGUUCCUUCCUAGCCUAUGUCUUGAUAGUUGUCGUAUUGUUUUCAUCUUUGUCUCUAGGUAGUAAUGUUUACUACGCUGGCUGUUGGCUCCGGAAGGGAUCUUUACCUUUGCUGGCUUUGUGUAAUUCACGUUAUAAGUUUGAAUAUUAAUCCAACAGAUGACAAAAAAAAAAAGAACGAAUAUCGCUCAACCUUUUUCUUUAAAAAUAAUUUAACUAGGGAAGAUUGCAAGGAAAACAUCCAACAUAUUUUUAUGUAUCUAUCCAUUAGUAAAAGUUAGGUUUAAGAACUUUAAUAAUGAGCAUGUGAAUUGAUUGGGAAACUUAGAAUGUAAGCAAUCAGUUUAUCAUCACUAACUAAAAAUUUGAAACAUCAAAUCUAUUAUGGUGUAAAGAUUAACACGAACGAGAUUGAGACAUUACAUGAGGAAACAUCAUAUAAAACACACACAUAGAUAUAAAUAAUUAUGAAGGAAGAAAAAGAGAGAAACAAAUAAAAAAGUAGAAAAGCCAAUAUUUAUGGGAGUGUCAGUGUCAUCUCUACAAUGUAGAGCCCAAUCAAUCCGAUCUAGUGUUUUCGGUCAGUGUUCCUUUCAUACCAUGGCCAAUAAAACAUUUUCUUGGCUGUAUUAUCUAGCCAGAAAAUAGAACAUGAGAAUAAAAGAAUAGAGAAAAAUAAUAAUGAUAAAUGUUAAAAUCAUUAAAACAUUUAAAAUAUGCUUUCAAGAGUAGUUUAUAAAUUUUGUGGGAGAUUUGCCUCUUUGUAAUGUGUAAAAUUAAAUUAUUUUUUUGUUUGACAAUAUGUAUGCAGUGAAGUCUUUAAUAUCAGUUUAAAAAUCAAUUAUUGUGAUAUAAACAUUCAAUUUUGUUUAAUCAGGUGAAAAAAAACAUUCAAUUUUGUUAACUCAUAUUAACUCUUUGAAAGCUUUACCCAGUUCACAAUGAACCAAACUUGUAUGCAAGGAGUGAUUGAAAUAACAACAUAUGAAACCUCAUUCAUUACUUGACGUUUUUUUGUUGUCAUUCUCGUUACCUUGUCCCACACGGUAUCACUAAGAAGGGAGCAAGGAGUUUCAGAACAAAUAUUUCUACUUAUAUCGAAGCAUUUGCUCAUUUACCCUCAAAAACAGAAGAUCUUUCGGUUUUACACCGAUCACUCAUCGUUUGUCUCAAGGGAAGAUUGUAAUACUUCUUCUAAAUACUUUUCCGCGGCUGCAAACUGUCUCUUCUUGUCCUCGAUUGCUAGUGCAGCCAGAGCUUUGUCCUGUUCAAAAAAAUAAGGAAGCAAUCUACUGUGAAUAGACUAGCAACAACUACUAACAACAAAGAGGAGACUGAUAAGCUGAUCAAUGAGAGGUUUAAUGAAUAUUUGGAAGAACCAGAGAUGUAUCAGCCUUUUUUUGGAUUCAGUUGAAAGGAAAUAAUAAGAUUACCGGAGGCAAGUCCUGGUAGCUUCUUAGAGUAUCAACGACAGGUUUUGUCAUCUUCUCCAAUUCCUUCCUGUGCUCUGCCAUUUCCACCAGCUCUCUAUGGCUAAUCUUGGUACCGUAACCAACUCGGUUGAGCAACACCUGCUCCCAAGAAUAUACAUAAGACAAACUAUGCUAGCCAAACAUAAUCAGUGAAAGGAGAAGAAGGCGUCUACCUCAUACUUCUUGUACUGCUGUAUAUACUGAUCCUCCUUGGCCGCCAUUACUUCCAAAUUCGUUCUCCAAUUCUCCAUCUAUGACUCACAACUUGUUCUUCUAAUAGAUUCCUAUGUUACCUCUAGUCUCUACUCUUUCCAAUCUCGUUUGUGCUUAUUCUUCUAACAGAUUCCUGUGUUACUUUGUCACAGAUUAAUAGCUUCUUCAAGGUGAGCGCCUUAUUGCGCCAUGACGUAAGUGAUGUUAGGAGUUUUCAAGGCUCCUAAGACAAAUGUUGUAGUAUAAAUGAUUGUCGAACCAGUUCUGAGAGAUAUGAAAGCACCGAGAAUGCAAGUACUCACUUAAUCUAAGUGCAACCAAUGAUUUAGAUGAGUUUUAAGCUAUGACUAAAACUAAAAAGCAAUAACAGAAUGAUACUUUCUUGACUAAGGGAAAAGAGAACUCAUGGGCAUAGGGAUUAGACCUUGGGUGAUCAAGUUUCGAACUGAGGAUGACAAAUGAUCAAUCAAACUAUCGACCUUAAGCCUAGACACAAUUCUAAGCAAGCUCUAUGUCUAGAUGAAUGCUCAUUUGCUAACAUAUCUCAAACAUCAAAUGUCUUUGGUUGAAUAAUAUGAAAGCAAUCAUUAGAUCGCCUAAAAUAUAUAUCCAAUAUACUUAUUUUACAAAUACAUAACAUCUCGGGGAUUAUCUCGAAUAUAUUUCCAUAUAGUUAUUAGAAAAUAGUAACGAAAACUUCGAAUAUUUUGUCACCUUGGCAGAAAAAUAUCAACAUGCAGACUGAUAUUGGUUCCAGAACAAUGCUAUAAAAUCGACAUUACAUUCUGCAUGGCAUUGGAGUUUACCUUUUUUGAAGAAUCAGAACAAUGUUGUGCUGAGAUACGGAGUCUAUCAACGUUGGGAGGGUCGCCGUAGAGCGAUCGAAACUCCUGUAAAGUGAGGUUAAUGUCUUCAUUUGAGAUAUCGUAUCCUCUGUCUCGGAGCAUCUCCAUGGUGGUUCGACGCGCCAGGUAAUAGCUGUGACUGUCCACACGUGAUUCAUCAAGGGACUUGCUCAGACCAGAGCCAACCGCUAACUCCUUACCUUUCCCCUCCAUCGUCUCUCUCGCGGGGAGGGAAAAAGCAUGCAAGCUUGAAUGUAGGAUUUUGCAGACGGCAUGAUGUUUUGUCGUUUUUAUUUGCGGGUGACGGUUUUACGGUGACAUCGAAUGAAGUAUGCAACAGGGUUUUAGUGGUAGCCAAUGAGCAAGCAGGUGAUGUAGUCAAAGGUGAGUAAAUGGUAGCUUUAGUGCUUCUUAUUGGCAUUGGUUUUGUAGUGGGAAACUCAAUACAAAUUUUGGCUCAAGACAUUUUAUAUAAAAAUAUUAUACAUUUUGGGGACAUGCAAAUAUAAACAUUAAUGAAGGCAUGUUUCCCUUGUUAUGAUGUUAUCUCUUGGGGACAUAUUUUUUAUGACUAGUCUAUGGGCUGGGUUUGUCGGAUUUAGUGCGGUGGUCAUGAGCUCGCCUGUCGGGUUCAGGUUCCGCUGAAGUUCGGUGGUCAAUCAAGGCUACGGGCUCUCCGUUCUGAAGCCAAUCAUAGGUGUUUUGUUAUGUUUCUAUGUUAGUAUAUGGUCCUUAGUUGGUUGAUUUGUGGUCUUGAGGCUUUGACGGCUUGGACAUCCUUGAAGACCUGGUCGAGUUUGCGUUGCUCUUUCUCGCUAUGCUUGGGUUGCUUCUUCAUCUUCGAAUCUGUUUUCUGGUGCGCGGUGCAGGAAUAAAUCGGCUCUGAUGUGGGUAGCUACUUCUUUCAUCGAAUUUGGUGAGGUGGUUUAGGUGGGUUUGCGAUGGUUCUGCGCUAUCGGCUCUCUUCUCUGUCCUCUAAGGUCGUCUUUGUUGAAGGUUCUAUAAGUUAUGGCCAGUGUUGAUGCUAUGUUUGUGAGUAAGAGUUCUCUGAAUUUAUGGAGUUUGGUGGUCUUGAGACAGUGGUGCUUAGUGUUAUCAGUUUGGGUCUUUCAGCUGUGCUCUAAGUUCUUGACUUCUGCUUUCAGUAGCGUCAUAUGUCCUCCGGGCUCGUCUUCGGUAAGGUCUUGAUGCUCGACCCUUGUGUUUACUAAUGAUUGGAUCAUUGUGAAGCCUCGAUAGUGCGUUGUCAUGCCGUUUCUUGGUUUUAAACCAACGGGUUUCUCCGGAUUUCUUGGUAAGAAACUGUGGAGCUCUAGCUCAAUUGCGUUGGGUCUUUGAGUAGUUAGAUUGUCAACCUGUUCUUCGUCGGCUGCUCGGAUGGAGAUCCGCCUUCUCGUGGCUUCCAAAAGUUGAAGCUUGUUCUUGAGUGGCGUGUGCUCGGGAUCCUCUGUUGGAUCGUGUCUUGGAGCUCUUCUAUCAUCCUAAUAAUUCCGACCUUCAACGCUUUCUUCGUUAAUCACGGCUUCCCUAUCGAGUUGCUUUGCUAUAUUGAUACUUGUUUUAGCUCCAUUAAUUUUUCAGUGGUCUUGUUCCUUCCUAGCCUAUGUCUUGAUAGUUGUCGUAUUGUUUUCAUCUUUGUCUCUAGGUAGUAAUGUUUACUACGCUGGCUGUUGGCUCCGGAAGGGAUCUUUACCUUUGCUGGCUUUGUGUAAUUCACGUUAUAAGUUUGAAUAUUAAUCCAACAGAUGACAAAAAAAAAAAGAACGAAUAUCGC